GCAUAAAGUGGGCAACGUCAUCAGCACUCCUCCCACAAAUCACAGAAAAUGUGUUUUGGGGCCGAGAGGCACCUUUUCAUCAUAACGUUGGAGGAAAUACAUUCUUAGCCUGUGAGGAACAUGUUUGCUGGCCUGAAAUGCUAGCCGCUCUGCACACGUUCCCGUUCCCUCUGAGUCACCCUUUCUCCUCCCUAACAACAUCUGCAGGGGUGAAAUCAGAGUGUUGCGAACAGAACGCCUCGAGGAGUAUCAUGGAGGAGUGUUCUCUUUACUGCACCAUUAGGCCAUAUUUUAUGGGAGAUCAAGUCAAGAGACACAAGAUGAACCUGUUCACCCAGCAAACUGUGAUGCUUUGGCUCUGUGUUGCUCGUACACUCACGACGGCAGAGCUGGUGAAGCUAAGCACUGUUGACUCUGUCAUUGUGUGGUGUCACCAGAGUGUCCGCCUCCAAUGUAACAUCUCCACCUCCCAGGAGGGACUGUUGAUCAAACAUCUGGCCUGGGUCCGCCAGGACGGGAAGCACCUGUGUGAUGUUAACGGAACUGAAGUGACCGGGACCCACCCAGGGAGCACAACUAGUGCUAUGGAGUGUAGUUAUACCCCACAGACACAGCUGUCCCUGACUCUGCUGCAGGUACGACCACUGGAUCAGGGAAAGUACUUGUGCAAGCUGCGCUCCAGUCAUGGAGUAAAGGAGGCCACUACAAUGGUGAAGCUGCAAGAGUCCUACAAGGAGGCCCAGCCCAGUAUCAGUGAUGAGGGCCCAACCUGCACCUUCACUGGGGUCUAUCCUGAUGGCGAGGUGCACUGGUUCCAGGGACCCAACAACGUGACUGGGGACUCUACAAUCAACACUAAACAAGUGGAAGAUGGAGCGUCAUUGACUAUAACUAGUUCCCUGAAAAGAAAGACAGUCUCUGGGGAAGAGGCCUACAACUGCUCCCUGUGGAUCCCCAGUACCGGAUCCUACCUGACCAGCAGCUUAGUGGUACCAGAGCAUGAUAAAGCCAGGGUUGCGCAGCCCAAUGCCAGUGGGUCAGGGUCCAUUGGUCCUUUGUGGAAACCUUUUCUAGUCCUCCUGAGUACUCUCUUCCUGGUGUGACGUCUUGAAAACAAACAUGAACAAAUUGACAAGCAAGUGCCAGGAUCAUUUAAUAAGAAUAUGGAAGAGCCAUUGUGUGAGGUUCCUUUCAUGGUCCAAAGGUUUCCUUGGCUGCGUAGAACAAGGAAAUGAUGAACAGAUGAGAGAGGCUGAUCAACCUAUUGUGAACGCACCCUUGUUGGUCUGCCAGUGCCAGAUAUAAAUGAUUGUUAAUUAAAAACUGCAAACGGCAGUAGAAACAGUAACAAAGCUUACUUCCUGCCAGUUUUGGUAAAAAAUUGAGGGAUGGGGCUGGAGAAAUGUAACCACUCUCAAAUUCAUAGACGCGCUUUGGAUGCAUGGACUGACCAUCCAUGAUAUCAAAAUAAUAGUUUUAACAAUGUUUUGAGGCUAUAUAGUGUUUUAUUAAAUUGGAGUUGAACAAGCUUCUGAUGGGGUAAGAGAGUUGCACUAAGCUCAUGAGGCAUUUAUAAGUUACAUUCUUCAAGAAUUAAUGUGUACAUAUUAAAAAAAUGAUGUGACAACUACUGAUUGCCCCUUUAAGGGCGUGACCUUUUGUAGAAAAGCCUUCCUGUUUGCGUUAAUCAGAGAGAUCCCCUUGGACAGGAGCGGUGGUUUAACUGGGUUGAUUUUUUUUGUUGUUGAUUUUUUAAGUACAAUGGUAAAUGUAGUGUUUGCUGGCGCCCAUAGUCCACCUAGACACAUCCUCCGUGAGUGUUGUAACACCAACGUUUAACUGAAUGAGAAUUGUGAGAAAUGUAUUGUUAGUAAUGUUUGUUUGUGAGGUGAUAUUCCUGCUUAGGAUGGAUGUAAAUAAAUGGCUGCAUCCUGAUUAUCCCAUGCUCCACUCCUUGAUACAAAGAACCUGUGUGUUUUAGAUUUAGUCCUGAGGACCUCCUCUCGCCAAUAAAAAAAAAAAAAAAAAAAA
rnacentral:lncRNA from 1 species